GGUGGCAAGCGUUGUCCGGAUUUAUUGGGCGUAAAGCGAGCGCAGGCGGUUUUUUAAGUCUGAUGUGAAAGCCUUCGGCUUAACCGGAGAAGUGCAUCGGAAACUGGGAGACUUGAGUGCAGAAGAGGACAGUGGAACUCCAUGUGUAGCGGUGGAAUGCGUAGAUAUAUGGAAGAACACCAGUGGCGAAGGCGGCUGUCUAGUCUGUAACUGACGCUGAGGCUCGAAAGCAUGGGUAGCGAACAGGAUUAGAUACCCUGGUAGUCCAUGCCGUAAACGAUGAGUGCUAAGUGUUGGAGGGUUUCCGCCCUUCAGUGCUGCAGCUAACGCAUUAAGCACUCCGCCUGGGGAGUACGACCGCAAGGUUGAAACUCAAAGGAAUUGACGGGGGCCCGCACAAGCGGUGGAGCAUGUGGUUUAAUUCGAAGCUACGCGAAGAACCUUACCAGGUCUUGACAUCUUCUGCCAAUCUUAGAGAUAAGACGUUCCCUUCGGGGACAGAAUGACAGGUGGUGCAUGGUUGUCGUCAGCUCGUGUCGUGAGAUGUUGGGUUAAGUCCCGCAACGAGCGCAACCCUUAUUAUCAGUUGCCAGCAUUCAGUUGGGCACUCUGGUGAGACUGCCGGUGACAAACCGGAGGAAGGUGGGGAUGACGUCAAAUCAUCAUGCCCCUUAUGACCUGGGCUACACACGUGCUACAAUGGACGGUACAACGAGUUGCGAAGUCGUGAGGCUAAGCUAAUCUCUUAAAGCCGUUCUCAGUUCGGAUUGUAGGCUGCAACUCGCCUACAUGAAGUUGGAAUCGCUAGUAAUCGCGGA
rnacentral:rRNA from 2 species